rnacentral:rRNA from 1 species
GUGAGUAACGCGUAUCCACCUGCCUUGCACUCUUGGACAGCCUUCUGAAAGGGAGAUUAAUACAAGAUGUUUAAGCAUUCGUAAAGGUUUCCGGUGUAAGAUGGGGAUGCGUUCCAUUAGAUAGUAGGCGGGGUAACGGCCCACCUAGUCUUCGAUGGAUAGGGGUUCUGAGAGGAAGGUCCCCCACAUUGGAACUGAGACACGGUCCAAACUCUACGGGAGGCAGCAGUGAGGAAUAUUGGUCAAUGGACGAGAGUCUGAACCAGCCAAGUAGCGUGAAGGAUGAAGGUUUAUGGAUUGUAAACUUCUUUUAUACGGGAAUAACGGAUCCACGCGUGGAUUUCUGCAUGUACCGUAUGAAUAAGGAUCGGCUAACUCCGUGCCAGCAGCCGCGGUAAUACGGAGGAUCCGAGCGUUAUCCGGAUUUAUUGGGUUUAAAGGGAGCGUAGAUGGGUUGUUAAGUCAGUUGUGAAAGUUUGCGGCUCAACCGUAAAAUUGCAAUUGAUACUGGCAGUCUUGAGUACAGUUGAGGUAGGCGGAAUUCGUGGUGUAGCGGAGAAAUGCUUAGAUAUCACG